rnacentral:rRNA from 1 species
AAAUAUAGUCUUAUUUUUUUUUUUAUAUUUGAGUUAUUAAAUAAUGAAAUAUAUAAGUAAGUAAUUUUGAAAAAGAUUUUUUUGUAAAAAUAAAAAUAUUUUUAAAAAGGUUUAAGUAAUUAAAAAUAAAAAAAUAAAUUAAAUUUUAUAGUUUAUAAAGUAAAGAAAUUGAAAGUUGAAAUAAAAUUGAAAAAAUUUUUUUGUAAAAGAAUAAUUAUUUUUUUGUUCCUUGUGUAUCAGGAUUAAUUAAAUGAAAAAUUUGUUAAUAAAAAUUAUUUAUAAUUUAAAGAAAUUUAAAAUUUUUUGAGUUUUAUUGUGUAAAAACUAUUUUUAAAAAAAUUUUAAAAAUUAAAAGUUAAUUGUUCUUAAAGUUAUAUAAUUUUUAAAGAAAUAAAUUUAAUUUAAUAUAAUUUUUUAUUAUUUUGUUUAUUUUAAAAUAUAAAAUAAAUAAUUUUGAAUUAUAUAAAUAUUUUAAGGGUUGAGCUUUAAAAUAAAAAAUUAAAAAUUAAGAUUUUUAAAAUAAAAAUUAAAUAAAAAUAAAAAUAAUCUUAAAAAUAGGUAAUUUUAAUUAAAAUGUUUUAAUUAAUUUUUUUUAUUUUAUUAUUUAAUUUAUAUUUAAUUUUAAUUUUUUAUUUAAAUAAUUAUUAAAUUAAAAAUAAUAAAUUGAUAAUAAUUAAAUUAGUAAAUUUCAAAAUAAUAUGUAUUAAAAUAAAAUUAAUUUUAAUAUAAUGAAUUCGGCAAUAUUAUUUUUGUCUGUUUAACAAAAACAUUGUUUUUUAAAAUUUUUAAAAAAUAAAGCCUGCACACUGAAUAAUAAAAUUUUAAAGAGCCGCGGUAUUUUGACCGUGCAAAGGUAGCAUAAUCAUUAGUUUUUUAAUUGAAGACUGGAAUGAAAGGUUUAAUAAAAAAUAAGCUUUAUUAUAUUAAUUAAAAUUGAAGUUAUUAUUUUAGUAAAAAAACUAAAAUAAUAAUAAAAGACGAUAAGACCCUAUAAAGCUUUAUAUAAUUUUUGUUAAUAAUUAUUUUAGAAUAAUAAAAUUUUUAAUUUUAAAAUUUAUUAAAUUGGGGUGAUUUAAAGAUUUAAAAAACUCUUUAUAAAUAAUUUUAUUAAUAAAUAAUAAAAUCGUUAAAAUUGAUCCUAAUAUUUUGGAUUAAAAAAUUAAGUUACUUUAGGGAUAACAGCGUAAUUUUUUUUGAGAGUUCUUAUCGAUAAAAAAGUUUGCGACCUCGAUGUUGGAUUAAGAUAAAAUUUUAGGUGUAGAAGUUUAAUUUUUUAGUCUGUUCGACUAUUUUUUCUUACAUGAUCUGAGUUCAAACCGGUUUAAGCCAGGUUGGUUUCUAUCUUUAUUAAAAUAUUAUGUUAUAGUACGAAAGGACCUAAUGUAAAAAUUAAAAUUUUAUUAAAAUGAAUUAAAUUAAAGUUUUUAAAAUAUUUAAAUAAAAAAUUAGUAAAUAUAUUUAAUAAUAAAGAAUUUAUUAAA